UGGGGAAUUUUGCGCAAUGGGGGAAACCCUGACGCAGCAACGCCGCGUGGAGGAUGAAAUCCCUUGGGAUGUAAACUCCUUUCGAUAGGGAAGAUAAUGACGGUACCUAUAGAAGAAGCCCCGGCUAACUUCGUGCCAGCAGCCGCGGUAAUACGAGGGGGGCAAGCGUUGUUCGGAAUUAUUGGGCGUAAAGGGUGCGUAGGCGGUUUGACAAGUCUUAUGUGAAAUCUUCGGGCUCAACCCGAAGCCUGCAUGGGAAACUGUCGGGCUUGAGUAUGGGAGAGGUGAGUGGAAUUUCCGGUGUAGCGGUGAAAUGCGUAGAUAUCGGAAGGAACACCUGUGGCGAAAGCGGCUCACUGGACCAUAACUGACGCUGAUGCACGAAAGCUAGGGGAGCAAACAGGAUUAGAUACCCUGGUAGUCCUAGCCCUAAACGAUGAUUGCUUGAUGUGGCAGGUACCCAAUCCUGCCGUGUCGAAGCUAACGCGAUAAGCAAUCCGCCUGGGGAGUACGGUCGCAAGGCUG
rnacentral:rRNA from 1 species